rnacentral:rRNA from 1 species
AUUGAACGCUGGCGGCAGGCCUAACACAUGCAAGUCGAACGAGUGGCGGACGGGUGAGUCAUGUCUGGGAAACUGCCUGAUGGAGGGGGAUAAAUACUGGAAACGGUAGCUAAUACCGCAUACCAUCGGAUGUGCCCAGAUGGGAUUAGCUCGUAGGUGGGGUAACGGCUCACCUAGGCGACGCUCCCUAGCUGGCCUGAGAGGCUGACCAGCCACACUGGACCGGAGACACGGUCCAGAAUCCUACGGGAGGCAGAAGUGGGGAAUAUUGCACAAUGGGCGAAAGCCUGAUCCAGCCAUGCCGCGUGUAUGAAGAAGGUCUUCGGGUUGGAAAGUCCUUUCAGCGGGGAGGCGUUACCCGAAGAAGAAGCACCGGCUAACUCCGUGCCAGCAGCCGCGGUAAUAC